UUUGGUCAAGUCCUAUAACGAGCGAAACCCUCGUUUUGUGUUGCUGAGACACGCGCCUAAGGAGAAAGUCUUUGCAACCGAAGUGAGCCGAAGAGCCGAGUGACGUGCCAGCGCUUCUAAUUGAGUGCCAGCACGUAGCUGUGUGCUGUCAGUAAGAAGGGAGCCAGCGCCUUUCGAAGCACUUUCUAGUGUGCUGCGCGCUUUAGUUUGAUUGCAGCUAGCGCGCUUUACUAAUAACAUAGAAGGGCUUUUCUCGCUUGUUUAGUAAAGUCAAGUUUUUGGUCUUAUCUUGCAGGUGACGACGACGUCGAGUUGGCGGCGGAGAAAGACUCGGCAUUCAGGCGAGCCGCCCGGUGGUGUGGUACGUAGUGGGUUUAGUACGCCCCGCCAAAACAAAACGGCUCCGAAACAAACAAAAAGGUGCGUGCCGCACUCACGAGGGACUGCCAGUGAUAUACUGGAGGAAGGUGGGGAUGACGUCAAGUCCGCAUGGCCCUUAUGGGCUGGGCCACACACGUGCUACAAUGGCAAUUACAAUGGGAAGCAAGGCUGUAAGGCGGAGCGAAUCCGGAAAGAUUGCCUCAGUUCGGAUUGUUCUCUGCAACUCGGGAACAUGAAGUUGGAAUCGCUAGUAAUCGCGGAUCAGCAUGCCGCGGUGAAUAUGUACCCGGGCCCUGUACACACCGCCCGUCACACCCUGGGAAUUGGUUUCGCCCGAAGCAUCGGACCAAUGAUCACCCAUGACUUCUGUGUACCACUAGUGCCCACAAGGCUUUUGGUGGUCUUAUUGGCGCAUACCACGGGUGGGGUCUUCGACU
rnacentral:rRNA from 1 species